AGUUCUACAGCACUGGUGAAGAAACUGCAUCCAGGUGUUAGACAGUCCUAAAGGACAGAAGAAAGAAAACCAGAAAGAGAGAAAGCUCAGGAAUCCAGGUGAAUAUCAGCCAUUUCAUUUGCUCCACUCUGCUCUUCUGAGUUCCAUCAAUGGACGUUCAGUAAGGUUAAUUGGCACCUGAAGGUAUGG